GCGGUAACAGGAGAACUUUGUUUUCUUGCUGACGAGCGGGAGACGUGUGAAUUAUGUGGGGGGAUCUGCCCGAUAGAGGGGGAUACCUUCUGAAAACGGUGGCUAAUACCGCAUACUGUCUAGAGACCAAAGCGGGGGCUCUUCUGACCUUGCACUAUCAGAUGACCCCAUGUGGGAUUAUCUAAUGUGUGGGGUAGAGGCUCACCUGCGCCACUAUCUCUCUCUGGUCUGAGAAGAUGAUCACCCACUCUGACACUGAGACACGGCCCACACUCCUAGGGGAGGCCGCUGUGGGGAAUAUUGCACUGUGGGCGCAAGCCUGAUGCCCCCAUGCCGCGUGUAUGAAAAGCGCCUUGGGGUUGUAAUGUACUUUCACCGGGGAGGAGGGUGAUAACGUUUAUACCCUUAUAUAUUGACUUCACCCGCAGAAAAAGCACCGGCUAUCUCCGUGCCCGCCGCCGCGGUAAUAGAGAGGGUGCAAGUGUUAAUCAGAAUUACUGGGCGUAACGCGCACGCGCGCGGUCUAUUAAGUCAUAUGUGAUCCCCCGAGCUAACUUGGGAAUUGCAUCUGACUCUGGUUGGCUAGAGUCUUGUAGAGGGGGGUAAAUUCCAUGUGUAGCGGUGAUAUGUAUAGAUAUGUGGAAAAUAGGGUGGCGAGCGCGGCCCCUGACACAGACACUGACGCUCGUGUGCGAGCGCGUGGAGAGCAACGAUAUAUAUACUGUGUAGUCACUCUGUACGCUAUGUCGAUUAGAGUUCUCGCUCGUAGAGUGUCUCUCUGAUCUAGCGCGUUAUCUCACCGCGUGAGAGUACGCGCAGGUUAAACUCAAUGAUUACACGGGGCUCACAGCGCUGUGAGAUGUGUAAUGCAGUG
rnacentral:rRNA from 1 species